UACGUAGGUGGCAAGCGUUGUCCGGAAUUAUUGGGCGUAAAGCGCGCGCAGGUGGUUUCUUAAGUCUGAUGUGAAAGCCCACGGCUCAACCGUGGAGGGUCAUUGGAAACUGGGGAACUUGAGUGCAGGAGAGAAGAGUGGAAUUCCACGUGUAGCGGGUGAAAUGCGUAGAGAUGUGGAGGAACACCAGUGGCGAAGGCGACUCUUUGGCCUGUAACUGACACUGGAGGCGACGAAAGCGUGGGGAGCAAACGGG
rnacentral:rRNA from 1 species